rnacentral:tRNA from 1 species
CAUUUUUGAGUAACCCAAUGUAAAUACUAUAAGUAUUAUAAGGCUUAAUUAACCCUCAAAACCA